rnacentral:rRNA from 1 species
UUAACCAGGUAAGGGCCCUAGUAGACCACUAGGUUGAUAGGCCGGAGGUGUAAGAGCAGCAAUGCUUUGAGCUGACCGGUACUAAUAGCCCGAGGGCUUGUUCAC